rnacentral:misc_RNA from 1 species
GAUGAAGAACGUAGUGAAAUGCGAUAAGUAAUGUGAAUUGCAGAAUUCAGUGAAUCAUCGAAUCUUUGAACGCACCUUGCGCUCCUUGGUAUUCCGAGGAGCAUGCCUGUUUGAGUGUCAUGAAACCCUCAAACCCAAGUUUUGGAUUUCGAUCCAUGCUUGAGUUUGGAUUUGGAUGUUUGCCGGUGAUGAACCGACUCAUCUUAAAAGUAUUAGCUUGGAUCUGUCUAUAUGACUGGUUUGACUUGGCAUAAUAAGUAUUUUGCUGAGGACAUCUUCGGAUGGCCAGGACCUAGACUACUGUCUGCUAACUAAACCAUCACUUUAAGUGCAUCUUUGGAUGUUACUCAUUGUGUAACUUUGACAUCUGGCCUCAAAUCAAGUAGGACUACCCGCUGAACUUAAGCAUAUCAAUAAGCGGAGGA